AGGCUCAAGCACUUCCCUUAGGCUGCUGGACAGCUAGGAAGGCACCUAGGAGGUGAAGCAUCAAAGACCAUCUGUUUGCAUCUGAGAGAAGCCUCCCGGUCUUGCUGACUAUGCAUCCUGGCCUGGGUCAGUAGUCAUGUGGCCAGCAGCACCAAGGAAGUGAUCAUCCCCCUGGACUCAGCACUGCCACAGAUCUCUGUCUUCUGACGCUGCACAAAGUGGAACACAACACACAGCUCAGUGAAGUUUCUGGCAUAAAAAAUGAACUC